UCAGGACGAACGCUGGCGGCGUGCCUAACACAUGCAAGUCGAGCGGGGAUUGUGGAGAGCUUGCUCAAAGCAAUUCUAGCGGCGGACGGGUGAGUAACGCGUGAGCAACCUGCCUCAAACAGGGGGAUAACGCAUCGAAAGAUGUGCUAAUACCGCGUAAGACCACAGCAUCACAUGGUGCAGGGGUCAAAGGAGCAAUCCGGUUUGAGAUGGGCUCGCGUCCGAUUAGCUAGUUGGUGAGAUAACAGCCCACCAAGGCGACGAUCGGUAGCCGACCUGAGAGGGUGAUCGGCCACAUUGGAACUGAGAGACGGUCCAGACUCCUACGGGAGGCAGCAGUGGGGAAUAUUGGGCAAUGGGCGAAAGCCUGACCCAGCAACGCCGCGUGAGGGAAGAAGGGUUUCGGCUCGUAAACCUCUGUCCUAUGGGACGAAGGAAGUGACGGUACCAUAGGAGGAAGCCCCGGCUAACUACGUGCCAGCAGCCGCGGUAAUACGUAGGGGGCGAGCGUUGUCCGGAAUGAUUGGGCGUAAAGGGCGCGUAGGCGGCCUGGUAAGUCCGGAGUGAAAGUCCUGCUUUUAAGGUGGGAAUUGCUUUGGAUACUGCUGGGCUUGAGUGCAGGAGAGGAAAGCGGAAUUACCGGUGUAGCGGUGAAAUGCGUAGAGAUCGGGAGGAACACCAGUGGCGAAGGCGGCUUUCUGGACUGUAACUGACGCUGAGGCGCGAAAGCGUGGGGAGCAAACAGGAUUAGAUACCCUGGUAGUCCACGC
rnacentral:rRNA from 1 species